CUUCUCUUCGGUGCCAAGCUGCACAAUGCUGGUCUCUCUCUCUCUCUCUCUCUCUGCAAUCUUGCACGCUCUUGCAUACUCGUACUCCCGCACUACUCUAUAUCGACAUUAUCUCUGGCUCACUCUCUCUGUCUAGGUUUUCAGAUCCCCUGAGUUUCUAGAGAGAGAACUUUUCAGCUGAUUCAAAAAAGCAGAUUCAGAUCCUCCACUUUCGAACCAGAUAAUAAGUCGGAUCCGAUCCGCCCUC
rnacentral:misc_RNA from 1 species